CGGAGGGAGCUAGCGUUGUUCGGAAUUACUGGGCGUAAAGCGCGCGUAGGCGGUUACUCAAGUCAGAGGUGAAAGCCCGGGGCUCAACCCCGGAACUGCCUUUGAAACUAGGUAACUAGAAUCUUGGAGAGGUCAGUGGAAUUCCGAGUGUAGAGGUGAAAUUCGUAGAUAUUCGGAAGAACACCAGUGGCGAAGGCGACUGACUGGACAAGUAUUGACGCUGAGGUGCGAAAGCGUGGGGAGCAAACAGGAUU
rnacentral:rRNA from 1 species